CCUUUAGUGUUACAGAACUGAGGGUUCCUUCCAGCAGCUGGAACCUCCAGCAAAACCUGUCCCCGAGUGACCACUCAUGAAUCCAACAUGACCGGCAGCUGAUACAUGGCCUCCUUACAACUUCAAAGCCUGAGAGACAGACGUGAGUUCAGUGGCAGACGGGGGUCCAAUAGAGGAUGAGCUCGUGAGGAGCCAAGAAACGAAGUCGUGUGAGGAAGAACUAAAGUAACAGGGGCCAUUUAACCCUGAUAAGAGCCAGACGCUGGGGAACAAGGAGGGGAACCGGGCGGGCAUCAAAGCCAAUAAAUUUGGACUGUACUCGCGACGGCGGCCAACGGCAACUCCUGGAGGUCAUGCCACUUGCAAGGAAGAAAUCACUGUCACACCCCACGGUCCACUGGGCUUGAGCAAACCCAUGUUCUUGCGAACAGAUGCAAAAUCCAGCAUUUUCUGCCUGCAAGGGAACUUGCACUUGGAGACUUGCAGCAUCAGCAAGAAUCUCUCCAGUUGUCUGAGCAUCAUCACCCAGAUGUUCUGGGUAUUAAGAGUCUCAAGCAAAAUACGUUGUCCAUAUUUUUUUGCAGCCCUGUGAGAUACUCAACACCACGAUGACCCAGAUCCAUGGGAAAGUGUAUACAAAGCAGAGCGGGAAGAGCCGAAAGCAGAGUUGUGUGUAUAUAUGGAUGGCAGCUUGAGAAGCUUAUUUACAUUCGAGAAAGGUGGGGAGGGGCUGUGGGGGACAUCUGUUGGAACCGCAUUCAUGUUGAGGGGUUGGGGACGUGAUGUGAGGUACAGCUUAAUAAUCAAUGCGGACUUAAAAUGAAAAGGUGCAUUCUUUGAGGCACCUUGAGGACCAAUGGAGUCCGGAGGGCGGGAGGUCUGGAAAUGGUCACUUCUCAUUUGUGCUGUGUGGCCAGGUAGCGGGGGAAGCCGGGAGCGGGAUGAAGCACGGGCUGUGGGUGUCUGGAGUCCUUUGCAAGUGAGGCCGUGGCUGCGGUGAUCUGGUGAGAGCCCGUUCCCUCCCUCCAGCAUCCUGAGAGUCUGCAACUGGCGUGUGCUCCAGGGGCUGCUGCGGGGGCCUGGCGUGCUGCCCACCCCUCAGCUGGCUCCGCAAAGACAGGAAGGUGGGGUUUGCAGUCCUGGGGGCCACCGCCAGGAAGCCUUGAGGCUGUCAAGACUCUGGAGCACACGCUUCUCCAUCUGGUGGGAAAGGAAACGGGGGGGGGGGGGGGGAGGGGGGAGCUGCUCGGGGCUGAAUGACACCCCGAGGGCCUCUGCUCCCCUUUCCCUGCCACACACCGGCCAGCAGCCCCUGGGAUGCCUUGGGAAGAGCAGCGAGGAGGGUCCCACACUUCUGUUGCGCCCCAAGGCCGGUCUCUUAUUCCAUCUCUCAAGGGGCUUCCUCUUCGUCUCCUUUUCAUUUUUAAACUGUUGCCCUUUGUUUAGUUGUGUGUGAUGCUAAGGACUUUGCAUAUGUCAAAAGCGGCGCUUAAUCCUCAGAAUGCACCUGCGAGGUAAGGGUGUCAGAGAUGGCUCAUUUUCAGCCAGAAGUUCCUCCUGCCGUUUCUUCAGGGCUGAGGUCCUGCUGGGAAAUAACCCGCUCCUCCAGGAACCCCGUUCUCCACCCCCCUCUACAGUUAGUGGCGGUCACAGCACUGGGUUCUGACCAGUGGCACAGGAACAGAAGUGAGCUGCUCCAUACAGAGCCCGGCCCUGUGAAAAGCUCCCCAGAAGCACUCUCCAAGCCCUCUACCUUGCCCCCAAGGGUGGGAGGGGGAGGGACGGGGACCACCCCCGGAUGCCCUUGGAAGCCACAGAUGUAAAAUGGUUCCAGAAUGCCUGUGUGGAGAAAGACUACCCGGCCAGCAUGUUCCUUGCUCAGUCCCGAGCAAGAAAGAAACAUAUCCUAUUGUUUCCAAGGCAUUAUACUUUUUGGGGUCUGUUUGUGAUACUGGUCAACCUACCGUAAGUAACCAAUUAGGAAUUUUCACUCCCAUUUUACCGAUGAGCACACUGAAGGCCAGACAGGAAAAUAAAUUGCCCAAGGUCACACAUUCAAGAAAUUGCAGGGUCACAAUGUGAGACUAGGCCUCAGUGGUCUUAGGGUCAUGUGAGGUGUGUGAAUUUCCCUAAGGAUCACCGCAGGGGAAUCUACAUGCAGGGUGUGGCUUUUCCUCAUUUGUGAGACCACAGGAACCUUUUCACUAUAGAGCUUCUCCUGCGACUAGCAUGGUCCGGAGACACUUUAGGAGGGGUAACCUCCAGUGUGGUGCCUGUUGCGGGCUGAAUUGUAUCUCUUCAACCCCAACAAAAGAGAUACAUUGAAAUCUUAACCCUCAGUACCUGGGAAUGUGACCUGAUUUGGAAAUAGGGUCUUUGCAGAUUUAACCAAGUUAAGGUGAAGACUAUAGGCAGGCCCUCAUUCAACCCAACUGGUAUCCUUAUAAGAAGGGAAAUGGGGACACACAGACAGAUGGGCACCGAGGGAAGAUGCUGUGGAGACACAGAGGCACACAAGGAGAACGCCAUGUGAAGACAGAGGAUUGGAAGGAUGCAUCUAUAAGACAAAGAACGCCGAGGAUUCUGGGCACACGCGAGAAGCUAGCAGAAGCAAGGAAAGAUUCUCUCCUAGAGCCAUCGGAGGGAGCGUGCCUCGGCCAACACCUUGGUUUCAGACUUCCAGGCUCCAGAAUCGUGAAGGAAUAUAUUUCUGUUGUUUUAAGCCACCCAGUUUUGGGCACUUCAAUAUGGCAGCCAUGGGAAAUGAAUACACCUGCCUCUAGCUUCUUUCAAGACCGAAAUUUCCUGGCAGUGUUAUUUUACCGAUAAUCAUCCAAAUGACUGACUGGGGUGGCUUCAGUUUACCAGAACACAGAUAGAGAGAGGAGCUGGGAGGGACACGUAGCGGCUAAGAGCGUCAGCUCUGGUGCCCGGCUCUGUAUCCCACUUUGGCCGCUUGACCUCUCUGUGCACAGCUUGCUUUCCUUUCUAUGGGGUGUGGGGUGGCGAUAACAAGGCCACAGUCGCUUCAUAGGUUACAGGGAGGGUUCAAUGAGUUAGCACAUCUAAAAUACCUAGACUGGUACCUGGCGUGUAGCUAGUACUUGCUCCUUUAAAGUUAUCCAUCCAGGCAGGAUUGCAUGGUCGCUUUAGAGAUGGACAGACAUGACUUUGAAUCCAAAUUUUGCUAUUUACCAACAGUGUUACCUUGAGCAUUGGCUUAUUUUAUUAAACGUCAAUCUCCCCAUCUCUACAAUAAAAGUAAUGCCUGCUGUGGAAAGAGGAUUUCCAAGGGAUGUAAAAUUACAGCUCUCAAACAGAUAACAAAUGAACACCCGUGAAAGAUUUUCGCUUACCAUUGAAUGAACUAGAGAGAUGUUACAGUUGGGUCAAAGGAGAACCCAAAAAACAGACACGUGUAGGUGAGAAAACUUGAAAUGCAUUUUCCAAUGGACACAAUGAACUGGCCUUGCUUGCACAGAGGAAGGUUGCCUGGCUCAUUUGUGUGUCCACAGUCAAGAACCGCUGUGUGCCCUCUGUCCCCUACCACUUACAGAGCUGCAGAAUGAACUCAGAGAUUCAAAGGGUGUGCUCUGAACAAUAUGUACUUUUCUCUUAGAGACAUCCAGUAACCUUUCUUGCUUAUUCCAGGUUUCCUUCUGGUCUCUCACAUGUUUAUAUGCACAGGGUUGGAAACAAGAUAGAUGAAUAUAUGAAAAAAGUUGCUG